GUCGGGAUGGCCGAGUGGUCUAAGGCGUCAGACUCAAGCUCGUGGAGAUCGUGAGUUCAAAUCUCACUUCUGACA